rnacentral:rRNA from 1 species
CCUUUUAUUUCGGGAAAGAAGGUGGGGCAACCCCCUUGACGGUACCGCAGGAAGAAGGACCGGCUAACUACGUGCCAGCAGCCGCGGUAAUACGUAGGGUCCGAGCGUUGUCCGGAGUUACUGGGCGUAAAGCGCGCGUAGGCGGCGGUGCUGGCCCGGCGUGAAAGCCCCCGGCUCAACCGGGGAGGGUCGUCGGGGACCGCACCGCUUGAGGGCGGUAGGGGCUGGUGGAAUGCCUGGUGUAGUGGUGAAAUGCGUAGAGAUCAGGCGGAACACCCGUGGCGAAGGCGGCCAGCUGGGCCGUACCCUGACGCUGAGGCGCGAAGGCGUGGGGAGCGAACGGGAUUAGAUACCCCGGUAGUCCACGCAGUAAACGAUGCCGACUAGGCGUGGGGGGAGUUGAGCCCCUCCGUGCCGGAGCCAACGCGGGAA